rnacentral:rRNA from 1 species
GGGUGCAAUCAUACCAGUGUUAAUGCACCGGAUCCCAUCAGAACUCUGUAGUUAAGCGUGCUUAGGCUAGAGUAGUACUGGGAUGGGUGACCUACCGGGAAGUCCUAGUGUUGCACCCU